CACCCUGUGUCAGUAUAUGGUUUGGUUCAACGCUCGUAGUUUCCUCAUUCGAGGAAAACGAUCCGUAGCCUAUCUAACAUGCAUCUCUGCUCUAUAUUUCUUCAUGUUCUGUAUUUUCUUAAUUAUUGGUUCGUAGCCCUACAAGGGUCAGAACAUCAUACCUCUGCAGUUUUUUUGCUCAAAGGAAAGGAUUUAUUCAUGGAAAUAAAUACACAGAAACCCAACGGUCUCUUUUUAUGGCGCUUUAAACCCAAAAAAAUAGUAAGGCAUGAUUCCGAUGGGCGGACCCGGUUCUUUGACAAAAGGGCAAAGUUAUCCACAGAGAAUUACUCAUUACAAAUAGAAAACCUAAGAUUGAAUGACAGCGGAAAUUACCAAGCAGUAGAUAUGGGUGGUGAAGAAGAAAAAGUUAUUGCUGAAUACAACGUCACAGUUCAAGAGCGGGUAUCACCAGUGGUCCUGAAAGGGUUGUCUGGGUCUCCCAGUCGUGAAUCCUGUAAUGUGACCGUGACCUGUAGCACUCUGAGCUACUCCUUAAACUCCACCUUCACGUGCACCAAUCAAACCUGCUCUGGGGAUGGAGGAGACACAGCAGAAGUCAUGACCCCUGAUGUCCUGCUGCAACUCUACCUCUCAAAUGGUUUGAACGCCAUCUGCAACCAUAGCAACAAAGUCAGCUGGUCAAAUGCCACGAUGGAGAUAAAACCUCUGUGUUUUGAAGAUGAUGUAAUUCCUCACAUUGACCACCACCAAAGAAAAAAAAUAAUAAUCAUUUCUAGCUGUCUGGUGUGCUUCAUCAUUCUGGGUUGCAUUCUGGUUGCUCUUUACAAACGGAGGAAAAAUAAUAAACGGAAUAUCAAUUCUCGUGGUAGCGAUGACCGGAGUCCAAACGGUGACCAGUCUCCCACCGUCUACAGUAUGUUAGGACCCUCUUCUAUCCCUUUAGAACCCAUUCCCCCUCAAACAGCCGCUCCCGAAGGUAUUUAUGCCCAGGUUGACAAGCACGGACGUGCUUAGAAGGCUGCUGGUUCAAUCCCUGGCUACUAGGCUCGUUCCGACUAAUGUAGAUGUAUCUGGGGAAUACCUUCCAGGCGUUUCUUUCUAUCGAUGGAAAAUUUUCUUAAAUAUGAGCCAAACAACUUUUAACCCAAGUGGUUAUUUUUUUGAUACUUUGUUACCGUUUUGGGAACUGAACAACGUCGUUCACCUUAGAAAAGCGAAGUAAGACGAAGUGAGGGCCACAUGUAGCCUAUGGAGUCGGGCCCUCGCAGCGUCGUCGGAGCAGAAACCUGAUCCCUCCACGACGGGAGAAAGUAGGUCAAACACUGAAUAGUAAUUUUACCGUUUUAAACGACGUUUGUAUUUGUUUAGCCUAUGGUUUUGUAUUAAUUAUAUUGGUUGUUUUGUGACCAAGUAGGCCUAAUAUAUUGAAUUACGAUGUUUGGGUCAAGGCUAAAUGCUCGCCAGGUUUCUCCGCCCCCGACACACCAAUGAUUUCACACCAUUGACGUGAAGUGGAUCAUUUUUUUGGAUCCUUUCCAUGGCGAAAGUCUUUAGCACCUGUAACUGCAGAUUUUGUAAGCGUAGCCUACACUAAAGUCACAAAUGUGUAACAGUAAAUUUGGAGUCCUGAAUAUUUAUUUUGCAUGUACUUUUGUGACAAUAAUACCUUCAUAUAUUUUUGACCUUAAUUUAAUUCUAUAUGUGACAGGGCUAGCUUUGUGUCACUUUGCUGCACUUGUGGUAGCUUAACUUAACAUGCUGUUGGCGUAGUUCCUAAAAUGUCCUGCAGAGGGCAGUGAUGCGGCUCUUUAUGUUACAAAGCGGGAAACAUCCGAAUAAGAGUACAGGAUUGCAUGAUGGGAAACAACAAAGAUAAAACUAUAAUUAUAUUGCUAAUAGUCUUUAAAUUGUGUCUUUGGGAUAUGGAUAUCCGAAAGCUGAUUGCAGUUUGAUAGCCAAGCCGUUGUUCUUGUUUUGUGGUCAAAAAAAUGUUAAUACCAUCAUAUAGACUGUUAUGUGGGAGAAUGAGUACAGCACGAGAGCCGUGUACAACUCAUACUUACCUGGCAGGGGAGACACCAUGAUCAAGAAGGUGGUUCACCCAGGGCGAGGCUCAGCCAUUGCACUUCGGCUGUGCUGACCCGUGCGAAUUCCUCAAAUGUGGGAAUCUCGACUGCAUAAUUUGUGGUAGUGGGGGACUGCGUUCGCGCUCUCCCCUGA